rnacentral:rRNA from 1 species
UACGGGGGGGGCAAGCGUUGUUCGGAAUUACUGGGCGUAAAGGGCGCGUAGGCGGUUCGCUAAGUUGGAUGUGAAAACUCUGGGCUUAACCCAGAGCCUGCAUCCAAAACUGGCGAACUGGAGUACUGGAGGGGAAAGCGGAAUUCCUGGUGUAGCGGUGAAAUGCGUAGAUAUCUGGAGGAACACCGGUGGCGAAGGCGGCAUCCUGGACCGAUACUGACGCUGAGGUGCGAAAGCGUGGGGAGCAAACAGG